rnacentral:rRNA from 1 species
GAUGAACGCUGGCGGCGUGCCUAAUACAUGCAAGUCGAGCGAACAGACGAGGAGCUUGCUCCUUCGACGUUAGCGGCGGACGGGUGAGUAACACGUAGGUAACCUACCUAUAAGACUGGGAUAACUUCGGGAAACCGGAGCUAAUACCGGAUAAUAUUUCGAACCGCAUGGUUCGAUAGUGAAAGAUGGCUUUGCUAUCACUUAUAGAUGGACCUGCGCCGGAUUAGCUAGUUGGUAAGGUAACGGCUUACCAAGGCAACGAUACGUAGCCGACCUGAGAGGGUGAUCGGCCACCCUGGAACUGAGACACGGUCCAGACUCCUACGGGAGGCAGCAGUAGGGAAUCUUCCGCAAUGGGCGAAAGCCUGACGGAGCAACGCCGCGUGAGUGAUGAAGGUCUUCGGAUCGUAAAACUCUGUUAUUAGGGAAGAACAAACGUGUAAGUAACUGUGCACGUCUUGACGGUACCUAAUCAGAAAGCCACGGCUAACUACGUG